ACUCAGAUAGUUUAAUAAAAAAUGUUAGUUUGUGGAACUUAAGAUGUAAAAGUAUUACUUUGAGUA
rnacentral:tRNA from 1 species